CCCAAUUGGAUCAUGUACACUGUACUGUACUUUACUGUACUGUAAAUUCAAGACGCUGAUGUUUAAUUAAUAAAGAUCGCUGGGCUCUUUUGUUACAUAUGUUUUUGACAGGUUGCCAAGAGGCGUGCACACUAAAACUGAACACAAUAGGUACAUGCAUUCAUUACGUCUCAAGGAGCUGAAGGAAGAAGACAGAACUUGCUUGGAGACGAAAUUUACAAAAUUAUGUCCGCGAAAAUUCUGUUGAAAAUCCUGAUGAUUUCAGUCUGGCUGAGUUUGGCUUUUCGUUUAUCGCAAAGUGACAAGGUAGUUGAUAAGAAAUGAUGAUAGAUGAUACAUUUGUUAUUAACGUUUCUUAUGUUAUUCAAAAUUUAACGCCAACAGAAUCACAUACUGUAUAUUAUAUUGUAUAUAGUAAAUAUGUAUUAUUUCUUAGAUAGUUUAUUUACAAUAACAACUAUUGGCUGAAUUAUAAAAGUUUUUGGCACAUGUAUACAAAUAUACGUACAUCAGUUCUAAUUACUGAUACGCUUUUAUAGAGUUACUAAAAAUAAAACUGUAUAGGUAUGGUAAAUAAUAAAUUUACGCCC